CAGAGAAGCAAGAACCUCACGUUAAUUUCUGAGACUGGCUGAAGCUAAAGCUCCAUUUAAAUUUCUCUGCUCUUUCAGCUGCAAGUGGAAUUUUCAUUGUAAAAUGGGCACUUUGAAUUCUUUGAAGGUAUUGAAACAUCUAACACUUCCAAGGUUACCACUUUCUAAACAAAGAACUGACAGCUCAUUCAUAUUUUCAGUAAAGCAGAGAAAUGUAAAAUAUGCAGCAAGGGGGCAAGUUUACAAUGUGGUUAGUAACUCCCAACAAAUGACAAAAAAUAAAAAAUGACUUCUAUAAAUCAUCUGAAAUGACUGCCAUCAUGUUGGAAAAGAGCAUAGCGCCCUUCUUGUCUUUGAAAUAAGAAGUUGUUUUUGGCUUACAAAUGUUCAUUGUAUAGAAUUGGUUCACAGAAUAUUUUGUUUGGAAUUUUACAAAACUAGGGAUUCAGGGAAAAAAAAAAGGAAACUACAAACAGUUGCCAAUCAGGGGAACUCCAAAAAGAGGGGGGGGAGGGGGGAAAUGUGGUGCAGAGGAAAGAUUCCUUUAAUGAAUAUUUGAUUAACAAAAAUGGGCUCUGAUCAGCCAUGCUUUUUCUGCUCCGUGAUGGCUUCCUUUCAUCCAUAGGCCAGCAAAACAGAUCAGUGAUUUCUGAGCACCUCUCAAUUUGGCUCCAUCCCCGGCCCUGCUCUGUGUUCCGUGGGUGACACCAGGCUCACCCUCCUGGGCCAUCAUCUACGUUUUAUUAAAGUACCACCGACACCAAACGGAAGCGAGAGCUACGGCAGGAGGAGAACCGUGGAAGUGUCAACACAUUCCUAAGCACAAAUACUUAGCUUAAGAAUAACAGCUGCAGUUAAUUCCAGGGAAAGCAGCUUGUUCUAUAAGCCACCCCUUAUUCAGCUUUUCUAAGGUUUCUCUCCCUCUAAGGGGGCUGUGGGGAGGAGGAACUUUACGCUGCUUUAAGCACCGCUCUUACAACACCCUCAACACAGAUACAGCUCCCCUUGCCUCAGCAGCAGCGUCUGUUAGAGAACAGGGGACAGAGGCAAAUCUUUGGAAGAGCAGGAACUAAAGCCAGCCUAUGGAAAAGCAAUGGGCGGGGGCUGAGGAGAGAGUGCAACCAACAAUGCUGCUUAUUUGUGGGGUGAUACCUUAAUAAAGAGCACUGGAACCCCGUGUUAGAGCCCGCAGCAGUCCACAAUCCAUGGAGACUCCAGUCGUGGAGCUGGGGCCUAUCCUGGAAUUUCAGACAGGUGCACACACUCCUCAUCAAAAAGAGGACUCUGGGUUUGAGCACCAACUCGUAAAAAAGUACUGGCCUAUGGCUGAAGUGUGUCACUUUUCACAGCAGCACUCAACAAGAACUGGGACAAUUAAAUAGCAAGUUUUCAUGGGGACCUUGUUGCUGCUUUAGAUUCUUAGAAAUGUAAGGGGGAAAGGAGAACCUUUGGUUUAAUAUACAAUUGACAAAUAAAAUGCUUUCUGUAGAAAUGGUGGAUGGAAAAUCAAGGGUGGGCAGACAAUCUUAAAAGUGAAGAAGGCCACAAGAACAAGUGGAAUUUUUUUUCUUUUUUUUCUUUUCUUUUUUUUUUUUUUUUGUAAAAACAGAAAAGAAAGGAAAACAUGUAGUUUUUGAGCUCUAAAGAACCUGAUUGUAACAUUACUGUUGUCCUUUCUCUGGGCAAUACAGGUGUAAGGUGUAUCCCUGGAAUUGCAUCCUUCUGUGGGAACUUCCUUUAAUACUUGUUUAAUACUUGUUUCACAGAAUGCAGCCUUAUACAGAGACAGACUAAUUCCCUUUGUUUCAUUUGUUUUUCAGCAUUUUGUGUAUGAGUGAAAAGUCUUCUUGGAUAAUUAAGACUGUGUCUAAAAUCACAGUAUGCUGAUCUAUAAGGAAACUCAGAGAGAAGAUUUAAAAGGAUUUGGAAUGGAAGAUCACUAGACUCUCAUAUUCAGCAGCAAAGCAAUCUUCACUUGCCAAUACUGCUGGGCUACAGCAAAUCCAGGACACCACACCAGCCAAGUGCUCCUCGUGUGGUCGUUCACUCCUCGCUCUCCCCAGCCCAGCACAAAGCAAGGCACAGACCCCAAAACGCUGGGGUCUGCUGUUGGCAUGGUGAGAGACACCAGGAACCCAAACUGAGCUGGAGGUGAGCCCAGAGAGGUGCAGACUGACCCUGUGCAUCCUCAGCAGCCAGAUGAUCCCAGCACUUCCCUCACCCAGCCAGGCUGUAAAUCCACAAACUGCCACCGUUCUGCUCUUUGCAUGUUGAUACUUUGACACACUGGUCACUCCUGGUGUAGGUACAUCACCCAGCCCAGGACAGAGCUGCAUGUUUUAGCAGACACUUCACCUGCAUGUUCACGGUGGUUUUUCACACACUGGGAAGCUUGUUAACCAGCCAGAGCCUUUCCCACUCCCCCUUUCCAGCCAUGGAUGUGCUCUUCAAAGAGCUCUAUUUACAUGCCAAGCUACAAAGCAACGUGGAAAAACUGCAGCUUUUAUGAUUCUACAGUGAGGUUUUUCACAACA